AAAUUUACGGGCCCAACUUAUUUAAUUCAACGGGCCCAUGCCCAUCUUAUAUUUCACCUAGCCCUAAUUAAAACACACACAUAGCACUCAAGCACACAUACAGUCGCACACGCACGCACCCUCUCUUAUCUCCCCUCUGCCGCCGCCGCCUGACGGCGAGCCCCGCGGCUCGGCCGCAUCUUCCUCUCUCUCAUCUGUCUCGUCUGUUCGUUUCUCCCCCAGAACAGGGCACAGCAGACUCCGCGCCACCGCUGGAGCUGCGGGUACCGCCUCCUUCGCCCUGUGACACACAGUCGGGGUUCAGCCCCCAAUCUCGGUCAACAACAGACACAUAGGGGUUAGGGUUAGGGCAGAUUUUAAUUAGAGUUGUAUAUGAUUAUCUAUGUGCUCUUGAAAUACAUUUCUACAUCUGAAAUUCAGUUCCUAUACUCAUUGUGUACACAUAAAGAUGAAAUAUGAGUAAUUGUGUGUGUUGGUGGUUCACUGUUGAGUGGGAUGAUUUCUGUAAUUGAAAACAAGGAUUAAGGAAAUUAGUUUAGGAGGAAAUCCUGGGAUGAUCUUGUGCUUCUAUAUAAUUCUCCCUUCAAUUUAUAAAAAU
rnacentral:lncRNA from 1 species